rnacentral:rRNA from 1 species
AGAGUUUGAUCCUGGCUCAGAAUCAACGCUGGCGGCGUGCCUCAGACAUGCAAGUCGAACGCGAAAGUUCCCUUCGGGGGGCGAGUAGAGUGGCGCACGGGUGAGUAACACGUAGGUAAUCUACCUUCGGAUGGGGAAUAACAACCGGAAACGGUUGCUAAUACCGCAUAAUGCAGCGGCACCUAAUGGUGACAGUUGUUAAAGCGGGGGACCGUAAGACCUCGCGUCUGGAGAGGAGCCUGCGGCGGAUUAGCUAGUUGGUAAGGUAACGGCUUACCAAGGCUAUGAUCCGUAGCCGGCCUGAGAGGGCGGUCGGCCACACUGACACUGACAUACGGGUCAGACUCCUACGGGAGGCAGCAGUCGGGAAUUUUGGGCAAUGGGCGAAAGCCUGACCCAGCAACGCCGCGUGAAGGAUGAAAUCCUUCGGGAUGUAAACUUCGCAAGAACGGGAAGAAUAAGCCGGUAUUAACACCACCGGUGAUGACGGUACUGUUUGUAAGCUCCGGCUAACUCCGUGCCAGCCGCCGCGGUAAUAC